UGGCUCAGGACGAACGCUGGCGGCGUGCUUAACACAUGCAAGUCGAACGGUGAUGCCCAGCUUGCUGGGCGGAUCAGUGGCGAACGGGUGAGUAACACGUGAGUAACCUGCCCCAGACUCCGGGAUAAGCCUUGGAAACGAGGUCUAAUACUGGAUACGAGACGCCCCUGCAUGGGGAGUGUCUGGAAAGAUUUAUCGGUCUGGGAUGGACUCGCGGCCUAUCAGCUUGUUGGUGGGGUAAUGGCCUACCAAGGCGACGACGGGUAGCCGGCCUGAGAGGGCGACCGGCCACACUGGGACUGAGACAC
rnacentral:rRNA from 1 species